rnacentral:rRNA from 1 species
UACGAAGGGGGCUAGCGUUGCUCGGAAUUACUGGGCGUAAAGCGCACGUAGGCGGAUUGUUAAGUCGGGGGUGAAAUCCUGGAGCUCAACUCCAGAACUGCCUUCGAUACUGGCGAUCUCGAGUUCGGGAGAGGUGAGUGGAACUGCGGGUGUAGAGGUGAAAUUCGUAGAUAUUCGCAAGAACACCAGUGGCGAAGGCGGCUCACUGGCCCGAUACUGACGCUGAGGUGCGAAAGCGUGGGGAGCAAACAGG